UGGUUCCGGCAUCGAUGAAGAACGCGGCGAAAUGCGAUAGGUAAUGUGAAUUGCAGAAUUCAGCGAAUCAUCGAAUCUUUGAACGCACAUUGCGCCCCCCGGACAUUCCGGAGGGCAUGCCUGUUCGAGCGUCAUCUACAACCCUUAUCGAACCGCCGCGGGAAACGCGGGAUCGGUUCGUCGUUGGGCGCUGCCCCGCCGUAAUGUCUUUUACCCGGCACGCCUCAAGAUCAGCGACGGGUCCCGUGUCGAACCCUCUUCCUCCCCCGGAACCGCGGACAAGGAUCGCGGAAGCGGGGGGGCAUACUGGGAUCGUGGGGACCGGUCGACCUUUUAUCCCCAUCGUUAUUAUCUCUGGUUGACCUCGAAUCAGGUAGGAAGACCCGCUGA
rnacentral:misc_RNA from 1 species